AGAUGUGAAGGUGAUCUGGAUGCAACAUCUGUCAUCCCAUUGAUUGCCAGGGUUGAUUCAGAUGAUCUGGCUGGCUAGGUGAGUGUCCCCUUCCUCCCUCACCACUCAAUGUGUGUCCCUCAUGAAGCUACAUGUUUGGUGGAAGAGGAUGACCUUCUCUGAUAAAAGAGGACUAUUCUUCGAUCAAAGGUAUAUGAGUAGCUUGUGCUCCCCUGCUAGAACCUCCAAACAAGCUCUCAAAAUGAAGGUAGGGCCAUGUUCUCUCUGAAUGCUCUAGGGAAUAAUCUGUUCCAAGCUUCUUUC
rnacentral:snRNA from 1 species